GUCCUUGAAAAGCAAAAUUUGAAACGAACUGUUAAAAAUGAAAUUAUCUUUGUCAUUCGAGAAGCAAUGAAAGGCUUAGAAAACGUGAUUUGUGAGGCACCAGUAAUCGCGUUAAUGCAGUGCUGAGAUGAUGAAAUCGAGGAAUGCGGUGACCCUAGUGUAGACACCAGGAAAUCCAGAUCCCAUAUAAUUCGUAUUUAAUUUGUAAUUUAAGUACCUGGCAAGCAUCCUUUCCACCGCGAGCAUAUCCGGCGC